rnacentral:rRNA from 1 species
UACGUAGGGUGCAAGCGUUGUCCGGAAUUUUUGGGCGUAAAGAGCUCGUAGGCGGUUUGUCGCGUCUGCCGUGAAAGUCCGGGGCUCAACUCCGGAUCUGCGGUGGGUACGGGCAGACUAGAGUGAUGUAGGGGAGACUGGAAUUCCUGGUGUAGCGGUGAAAUGCGCAGAUAUCAGGAGGAACACCGAUGGCGAAGGCAGGUCUCUGGGCAUUAACUGACGCUGAGGAGCGAAAGCAUGGGGAGCGAACAGG